AAUGCAUGACUUUGUCAAUUAUGUGAUUUCAUAAUUGCAAGAAAUACAUAUCCAUAAUAUAUAUUAAGCGUGAUUUUAUAUUGCAGCAUAAUUGCAAGGAACUAUAGAUGCAGCAUAAAUGUAUUCUGAGGUAUCCGCAACAUCGCAUUGGCCGUAAUUUCCUGCCAUAUAAAAGUUUGCAGCAUAACCGCAACUGCAACCACGAUUUAAAGUAUGCUAGUAAGCCAACUAUAACAAACAAACAGUGAAUAUGGAAGAUGCCGAUGAGAUGCUAAAUAUUAGGAAGCAUUAGAGAAAAGCCAGAAAAUGAAGCAGCAACACUCAAAAGUUAUAAUGUUGAUUGUUGAUACUCUAAGCUAAACCAGACAACUGAAGGUAGCUCUGUUCUAAGAGUUGCUGCUUGGAUCUCAUUUGACUCUUCAUUGUAUAACUCCUUCCAGCAUUCACUUACAGCUUCAAUGAAGUGCUUAGAUACUACACUUGAUCAAUAACUCAUUCUCAUCACUUCAAUUUACCUACAUGACAACAUCACAGGUUGAUUGGCGACGUCCGUCCAUAUCUUCUGGUCCAAACUGUAUCAUGCGUUGUCAUACCUCUUGUGGCCAUUUUAUUGCUUCCAAUGUACACACAUUCAACGUAUUGGCUAUGGGAUGCAGAUUGCCUGCAGCAUCAAAAUUAAAUAAGUAACAACUCUUGGCAUUUCACCACAUGAACCUUCGUUCUCAAUAAGGAUUAUUGAGAUUGUGCGGCGGUCCAUGAUGACGGUCACCACUAAUAGCAGCGCCGCAUUAAGGAUCCUUUCCAACUUCCCGCUAUCUCGGAACCCUAGCACAAGACUCUCUUUCUUCGAUUUCCUUUUUGCUGUUUGAGAAUUCGAGAAACCUUAUGCUGAAUGUUUCUUGUUUAACUUUAAUUGAGGACUUAAACCCCUAAGUUGUGAUGUUGAUGUGUUGAAACUCACUGAAGAUCCCAGUGGAUUCGACUUGGUUGAUCUGUAUGUGGAGCACGAGGUUGAUAACCCUGACAUAAUAGACGAGGCAGAGGCAUUUCAGGGAGUUGAUGUUGUUGAUGAUCUUAAAGUUAACAAUGAUAAGAAUGAUAAUGUUGUAGUUGAUGAUGAUGGUGAAGUUAACAAUGAUAAGGAGAAUAAUGUUGUAGUUAACGAUGAUGUUGAAUGGUGGCCUGCCCGCUCCAAGUUGCGAGUUGGCCCAUGGGACUUGUGCGAAGGCACCUGUCUUAUGGGUCUUAGACAAGAGGGUAUAGCGUGAGGCUGGUUUCACAGAGCAACGAACACUUCCUACUCUUGACAGUGGAAGGAUCACAGG